rnacentral:lncRNA from 1 species
CCUGUUAAAAUCAAGUUGAUGUGCGUGUGCUCCACUCAGCGGAGAACUCGCCGGAGAUGGAGCGAUUCCUCUGCACUCUGGAAGAAGAGACAAGAGCACGCUCUGGAAGCCUUUAUGAGGAGGCUUUUAGAAGCCAUUUUGAAAAGCCAGUCGUUAUCCUUCGGUGUUUUGGAAGUCUGGACUGGACCUCCCAGGUGAUAUUAGAAAAUUGGAACAGCACCUGUAGUGCCAGAUUGCUGUUGGCUGAAGAAGAAAACACCUGCUUCCUUUUUUUCCAGAGGUGGUUGGUGGUUGGUGUUCCUCCUACCUGGGCCGUGUCCUCAAGCACAACUGUUCUUUUUGUACAUAAAUCUUAAUGUUCCCUUGACGUGAAACACUCGAUGCUGCUGUUCCUUGAACACUCCCCCAACUUAUUCAAGGAAUAACAUUUGUUUAUCCCUGAGAAGAUACUAACAGAAUGCUUAGGAAAAAAAAAAAAAAAGAAGUAGUUUUCAAAGAAUAUGCUGAGAAAAAAAAAGUUUUCGAAGAAUAUGCUGAGAAAAAGUUUUCAAAGAAUAUGCUGAGAAAAAAAAAAGUUUUCAAGGAAUAUGCUGAGAAAAAGGGUUUCAAAGAAUGCGCUGAGCAAAAAAUUUUUCAAACAAUAUGCUGAGAAAUGAUGCAAUGAAAUAAAAAUGAUUUCUGAAAUCUCA